UGCGGUCCUCGGAUACUGUUCCUGGACCACUCCUGGCUGAGGGUCGCAUCCAUCAGACUGCCGGGCUUUUGUCUUCUCUCUCGGGGGAAGGCACUGGUUCCGAGCGAGAUUGGGGGCUCGCGUGGACUUUCGGGUCCGUGCGUCCCCUUAAAACGCACUGGUCAGCUCGGCUUCGGUCGGGCUGGUCGACAGCGUCCGCGCCGUGCGCGCAUGGACGGUUCCGAAUACGACGAACCGGCCGGCUGACGUGUCAUAGACUUGUGUCUAAGAAGACGUCUGGCUGCGCUGGAUGGUCGUCGGAACGAUCGUCCGCGUGCACAUUCUACGGAGCGACGCACAUUUGCUUACGCGACCUCAGAGCAGGUGAGACUACCCGCUGAAU
rnacentral:rRNA from 1 species